rnacentral:tRNA from 1 species
GGAUUCAUCGUUCAGUGGCAGGAUAUUCGGCUCCAGACCGGAAGACGAGAGUUCAAUUCUCUCUGAGUCCA